CAAGUCAAUGGUGGCUUUUUUGGUUCUCUCGCAACACUAGAUUGUGAACCCCGUCAGGCCCGGAAGGGAGCAGCGGUAGUGAUUGAUGUGUGUGCCGGGAGUCGGCUAAGAAAGCUGCCACCCUUUCUUG
rnacentral:SRP_RNA from 1 species